AAGGCUUUACCACAUUGAUUAUGUUCAUAGGGUUUCUCUUCAAUAUGACUUCUUUCAUGCCUUUCAUGUCUUCUAGAACUUUGACAAUGCUCUUCAAUAUGAUGGACUUCAAUUGUAGCCUCUAGCAGUGAUGUUCUGAAUCUUCACUGGGGCUCUGGCUCAUGUCUCAACUUCGGAGCUUGUUUGAGGUCCCCUCACAGCACUCAAGAGCAGUACUCAAAGAAGGACGCAGAGAACCACUCAGGCCUACACAGCCCAAACAAACCUGCAGCAAGCCACCCAGAAGAACCCUCCGCAUUGAUUAAUGGUCUUAAUAGGUUGAAAUUCACUGAGGUUUGAUUUAGGAUCCAACACUUCAUCAAUUUUGGCAAAUGGAUUUUUUGUGUGUGUGCUUGAAAAAAAUAUGCUUG
rnacentral:lncRNA from 1 species